rnacentral:pre_miRNA from 1 species
AGACACCCUUAUGGGGCAGGACUUGCUUCAGUGGGGCUUUGGUGCUUCCUGAGUCUGUCCCUUGAGUGUGUCACU